rnacentral:rRNA from 1 species
AGUUCGGAUUGUAGUCUGCAACUCGACUACAUGAAGCUGGAAUCGCUAGUAAUCGCAGAUCAGAAUGCUGCGGUGAAUACGUUCCCGGGUCUUGUACACACCGCCCGUCACACCAUGGGAGUCGGAAAUGCCCGAAGCCGGUGACCAAACCAAUAAGGGAAGGGGCCGUCGAAGGCAGGUCUGAUAACUGGGGUGAAGUCGUAACAAGGUAAC